ACUCCUACGGGAGGCAGCAGUGGGGAAUAUUGCACAAUGGGGAAACCCUGAUGCAGCCAUGCCGCGUGUGUGAAGAAGGCCUUCGGUUGUAAAGCACUUUCAGUAGGGAGGAAGGUAGUGUAGUUAACACCUGCAUUAUUUGACGUUACCUACAGAAGAAGCACCGGCUAACUCCGUGCCAGCAGCCGCGGUAAUACGGAGGGGUGCGAGCGUUAAUCGGAAUUACUGGGCGUAAAGCGCAUGCAGGCGGCCUGUUAAGUCAGAUGUGAAAGCCCGGGGGCUUAACCUCGGAAUUGCAUUUGAAACUGGCAGGCUAGAGUCUUGUAGAGGGGGUAGAAUUUCAGGUGUAGCGGUGAAAUGCGUAGAGAUCUGAAGGAAUACCAGUGGCGAAGGCGG
rnacentral:rRNA from 1 species